rnacentral:rRNA from 1 species
UACUAGAGUAGCACUCGCAUAUCAAUAAGCGGAGGAAAAGAAACUAACAAGGAUUCCCCUAGUAACGGCGAGUGAAGCGGGAAGAGCUCAAAUUUGAAAUCUUAAAGGGCUUCCCUUUACGAAUUGUAGUUUAAAGAAGUGUUUUCUGUUGAGGUUUUGGUAAAAGUUCUUUGGAAUAGGACAUCAUAGAGGGUGAGAAUCCCGUAUUUGACCUUUACUUUCAACUUUGUGAUACACUUUCAAAGAGUCGGAUUGUUUGGGAAUGCAGUCCAAAAUGGGUGGUAAAUUUCAUCUAAAGCUAAAUAUUGGCGAGAGACCGAUAGCGAACAAGUACCGUGAGGGAAAGAUGAAAAGAACUUUGAAAAGAGAGUUAAACAGUACGUGAAAUUGUCAAAAGGGAAGCGUUUGACACCAGUGUUGUUUUUCUGAAAAUCAAUUAAAGAACUGUUUAUGCUAAGCUGUUUAGACUUUAUCAGCUAUCUGUUUAGUUUUGAGCUUUUCUUUAAUGCACUUUUCAGUUAACAAGUCAACAUCAAUUUCUUUUGCUGUAAAGAAGCUUGAGGAAGGUGGCUUGAGAUUCGUCUUAAGUGUUUAUAGCCUCUUGCCUAUGCAGUCGGAGAGAUUGAGGUCUGCAGCGUAGAUCCUUCGGGGCUAAAUGCAUUUGUGCUAAGUUAUAGCAUUUUAUAGACAACUUGUUGACUAUGAUUUGUCUUGUAGCUUACUCGCUUAUGUUAUUUUACCUACGCUUAGGAUGUUGAGCGCAUGUCUCUCUCU